GUCGGGUACCAUUGAAACCAGUGGAAGCUUAGUUCUUUCGGUCUUCCUGAUAAAUCUUACUGCUGGUCACUCUUUGGCUUUGCACCACUUUUAAGAGCUGUAACACUUACCGCGAGGGUCUGCCGCGUCAUUCUUCAAGUCAGCGAGACCACGAACCCACCGGGAGGAACAAACAACUCCGGAUGCACCACCUUUAAGAGCUGUAACACUGACCGUGAGGUCUGCAGCUUCAUCCUUUAAGUCAGAGCCAUAGACCAUGAACGCACCGUGAGGAACAAACAACUCCGGAUGCACCACGUCUGAGAGCUGUAAUACCGCGAGGUCUGCAGCUUCAUUCUUGAAGUCAGCGAGACCAAGAACCCACCAGAAGGAAUAAAUUCCGGACACAGACCCAGUAUCUCUUAAACCUUGGCCAUGGUUCCGUUUAUCAUCUAGCUCCCCCAGGAUCCUACUCCAGAAGGUCUCUGGAUAUUAGUGUCAAUUUGGAUCUUGUGUCCAACAUUUCUCAAAAUGUUUGGGUUAUCUUCCUUUCCCCAAUUCAGUCGUCUGAGUAAAUAGUCAAAGAUCCUUUUGUGGAAGAACUGGGGGAAUCAAAAGUGUGUGUGCCUGCUGUGGUCUUAUGGAGUCCUUUCUCGUGGGUACCUGAUCAUUCCUUCAGAAAACGGGCUGUUGGCGCAUAAAAAUGGACUAGGGAUGAUGAUAUUAAAAUAACUGUCCUUAGUCAUCUGAUUAUCCAUCUGUGAUUUCUUUAGUUGGUAUCAACUGAGUAGUAGUACCCUUGUUGUCUGCCUAUUUUGCCCAUAGGUAUUCAUGUUCUAGAAACUAGCUGCAUAAUCUCUUUGCAGGCCAACCACCUCCAGCCUCCCUGCUCCAGUCUUGCCACUCACGGUAAUUGAAUCCACUUGGCUCCUAAUGGUUCUGAAUUGUC
rnacentral:lncRNA from 1 species